GCCUGUAUUAUCUUAUUUAAUCAUCAUACUUAUGAGAUAUUACUAUUAUCAUUCCCUUUUCAUAGGGGAGUUAAGAUAAAGGCCUGUCAAGAAUAUACAUCUAGCCGGAACCGGAAACUCUGAAACAGCUCUCCUUUCUAAUCAUUGGUGAUACCACCACCUGCCCGGGAAUACCUCAAACAGGUAAACAUACACUGAUGGGCUUGACAGUGGAGAAAAUGAAAAGUUCAAAAUUCCCUAGGAAAAAACUUUUUAUUUUUUUUAUUUUUAAUUUUUUUAAAGACCAGAA